GAUCAUGGCUCAGAUUGAACGCUGGCGGCAUGCUUACACAUGCAAGUCGAACGGUAGACCCUUUCGGGGGUUGAGAGUGGCGAACGGGUGAGUAAUGCAUCGGAACGUGCCCAGUCGUGGGGGAUAACGCAGCGAAAGUUGUGCUAAUACCGCAUACGACCUGAGGGUGAAAGCGGGGGACCGGUAACGGCCUCGCGCGAUUGGAGCGGCCGAUGUCUGAUUAGCUAGUUGGUGAGGUAAAGGCUCACCAAGGCGACGAUCAGUAGCGGGUCUGAGAGGAUGAUCCGCCACACUGGGACUGAGACACGGCCCAGACUCCUACGGGAGGCAGCAGUGGGGAAUUUUGGACAAUGGGCGCAAGCCUGAUCCAGCCAUGCCGCGUGCGGGAAGAAGGCCUUCGGGUUGUAAACCGCUUUCGGACAGAAAGAAAUCGCGUGGGUUAAUAGCCUGCAUGGAUGACGGUACUGUAAGAAGAAGCACCGGCUAACUACGUG
rnacentral:rRNA from 1 species